AUUGAACGCUGGCGGCAUGCCUUACACAUGCAAGUCGAACGGUAACAGGUCUUCGGAUGCUGACGAGUGGCGAACGGGUGAGUAAUACAUCGGAACGUGCCUAGUAGUGGGGGAUAACUACUCGAAAGAGUGGCUAAUACCGCAUGAGAUCUACGGAUGAAAGCAGGGGAUCGCAAGACCUUGUGCUACUAGAGCGGCCGAUGGCAGAUUAGGUAGUUGGUGGGGUAAAGGCUCACCAAGCCGACGAUCUGUAGCUGGUCUGAGAGGACGACCAGCCACACGGGGACUGAGACACGGCCCAGACGCCUACGGGAGGCAGCAGGGGGGAAUUUUGGACAAUGGGCGCAAGCCUGAUCCAGCCAUUCCGCGUGCAGGAUGAAGGCCUUCGGGUUGUAAACUGCUUUUGUACGGAACGAAAAGGCUCUGGUUAAUACCCGGGGCUCAUGACGGUACCGUAAGAAUAAGCACCGGCUAACUACGUGCCAGCCGCCGCCGUAA
rnacentral:rRNA from 1 species